rnacentral:rRNA from 1 species
UACGAAGGGGGCUAGCGUUGCUCGGAAUCACUGGGCGUAAAGCGCACGUAGGCGGCUUUUUAAGUCAGAGGUGAAAUCCUGGAGCUCAACUCCAGAACUGCCUUUGAUACUGGAGAGCUUGAGUCCGGGAGAGGUGAGUGGAACUGCGAGUGUAGAGGUGAAAUUCGUAGAUAUUCGCAAGAACACCAGUGGCGAAGGCGGCACUCUGGGCCGGAACUGACGCUGAGGAGCGAAAGCGUGGGGAGCGAACAGG